CCGGCGCACGGGUGAGUAACACGUAUCCAACCUGCCGUCUACUCUUGGCCAGCCUUCUGAAAGGAAGAUUAAUCCAGGAUGGCAUCAUGAGUUCACAUGUCCGCAUGAUUAAAGGUAUUUUCCGGUAGACGAUGGGGAUGCGUUCCAUUAGAUAGUAGGCGGGGUAACGGCCCACCUAGUCAACGAUGGGUAGGGGUUCUGAGAGGAAGGUCCCCCACAUUGGAACUGAGACACGGUCCAA
rnacentral:rRNA from 1 species